GAAGUUUCCCUCAGGAUAGCUGGAGCCCAUGUGCGAGUUCUAUCAGGUAAAGCCAAUGAUUAGAGGCAUCGGGGGCGUAACGCCCUCGACCUAUUCUCAAACUUUAAAUAGGUAGGACGGCGUGGCUGCUUCAUUGAGCCGCAUCACGGAAUCGAGAGCUCCAAGUGGGCCAUUUUUGGUAAGCAGAACUGGCGAUGCGGGAUGAACCGGAAGUCAGGUUACGGUGCCCAACUGUGCGCUAAUCCAGACACCAAAAAGGGUGUUGGUCAAUUAAGAUAGCAGGAUGGUGGUCAUGGAAGUCGAAAUCCACUAAGUGUGUAACAACUAACCUACCGAAUCAACUGUUGGUAAAUCUUGGGGGCGACAUCAUAUGCGCAGCGGAAGAACAAGAA
rnacentral:rRNA from 15 species